rnacentral:lncRNA from 1 species
ACCCAACGUGCUUUGAACCUUACUGCUUCAACCUUUGAGAUUCUUUCUUUCUUUUUGAAGAUAUCCAUUUACACCCAACAAUCUUCUGACCGCAUGGUGGUUUCACGAGCUCUCAUGUCUAAUUCUUAUAAAGACUCAAUCGAUCUCUUCACUCACAGCAAUAGAGCACUAUACAAAUUCACUGUUAGUGAUGGUCUCAUUACAACUGAUAUGAUCUUGAACUUCAAUAGACUUUACCAUAGAUAAUGCAAAAA